CAUCACAGAGCCAGCUGUUGGUGUUUGGAAGUGCCCUGCACAGGCACUAGACCUGCUGGGCUGGGGAUGACGGACCUGUUGUGAAGACAAGAGCUAAGGAGACCAGUCCUCCAGCAAACAGAGCUGCCAGAAGGAGAUGUCUCCCACCAUCAAGCAGAGGCUGGCCAGCACUCAGGAGAUGAAUCUGCCCGAGGUUGUCCAGCUUCAAGACAAGAGCAAGACCUCCAUCACAAGGCUUCCCUCCAGCUCAUCAAAAUACCUCAGUGUCCAGGUCCUGCUGUCAUUUCAAACUGCUGGUGGAGUUCCUUCAGCUGGGAGAAAGGCAAGUGAGACACAAGUCCCAAUUUGUGCUAAGUCAACACAAAUAACCUCUGCUGAAUCUGGUGGGGUUUGCUGGAGUGUAACUGCCAUCCCUAAUGAGAGAAGGCUGGGGCAGGACACAAGGGAAUGAGCUUGCCAUUUUCCAUUCUUCUGCUGGAAGAGCCACCUCUUGCUUUGGUGUGGUCACUGUCAAAUGCUUAGGGUUA
rnacentral:lncRNA from 1 species